UACGAAGGGGGCUAGCGUUGCUCGGAAUCACUGGGCGUAAAGCGCACGUAGGCGGAUUGCUAAGUCAGGGGUGAAAUCCUGGAGCUCAACUCCAGAACUGCCUUUGAUACUGGCGGUCUCGAGUCCGGGAGAGGUGGAGUGGAACUGCGAGUGUAGAGGUGAAAUUCGUAGAUAUUCGCAAGAACACCAGUGGCGAAGGCGGCUCACUGGCCCGGUACUGACGCUGAGGUGCGAAAGCGUGGGGAGCAAACAGG
rnacentral:rRNA from 1 species